UACGAGAGCCCCAAGCGUUAUCCGGAAUUACUGGGCGUAAAGGGUGCGUAGGUGGUAAUGUUAGUCGUUUGUGAAAUCUCGGAGCUUAACUUCGAGCCCGCAAGCGAAACGGCAUUACUUGAGAAUGUGAGGGGUGUGCGGAACUCUAGGUGUAGGGGUGAAAUCCGUUGAUAUCUAGGGGAACACCAAAAGCGAAGGCAGCACACUGGCACAUAUCUGACACUGAAGCACGAAAGCGUGGGUAGCGAAAAGG
rnacentral:rRNA from 1 species